rnacentral:tRNA from 1 species
AGGCGAGUGGCGGAAUGGCAGACGCACCAUAUUUAGGAUAUGGCUUUUUGAGGGUUCAAAUCCCUCCUCGCCCACAA